AUGGAGAGAGCAAGCAAGCGGAGGUCUGUGCUCCCGUCUUCCUUUGUUUUACUACUCCCCUUCCUCAUCAACCUUGUGUGCCCCGGCUGGAAAUUCACGGAUGCAGGAGACACGCUCCUUCCUGGACAAUCUCUAAAUGCUAGCCAGGUCCUACUCUCAAACAAUGGUGUCUUCAAGUUGGGUUUCAACUUGCAAUAUGAUCCUUCCCCGUAUUGUCGUUUUGGCACCUGGUUCACUAACUCAUCGCCCCAUGAUGAUGAUUCACUGGUUUGGCAACCUGAUCUGGAAGCGACUUUUGAUUGCAAUUCAUCAUCAGCUACCCUAUCAGAGAAUGGCACGCUACAUAUAACCGACAGCUAUACCUCUGUCUUUUUGACCACUUCUAUCUCUGCCAUUGCAGUGCUUCUUGAUAACGGAAACCUUGUAUUAAGAGACCAAGCAAACAGUUCGCAGGUGCUUUGGCAGAGUUUUGAUUACCCAACUGGUACACUGCUCCCUGGAAUGCGCCUAGGGUCCAAUUCAAUUAUCGGCAAGAGCAUGAUCCUUUUUUCUGAUCUUAGUAAUUAUAUGGAUGCAACAAGAAGGCGAGGUUUUAUUAUUCAGCAGAAUCCUUUUGGUUUAAUGUUUGCUGGUACUUUUCCUAGCUGGAUAGUUCGUGAAGAUGGAGACUUUGUUGUGACACUAAAUGACGCACAUACAUACAUGCGUUUAAAUGGCUCUGGAUUUGUUGAAUUUGCUAAGCAAGAGGCACGCAGUUCUAUUUUGUGGUCUGCUCCAGAAAGCUUAUGCGACUUUGAGUCAUACUGUGGACCUUAUGGUAUCUGCAAAAGGUCAAGCUUCUGCAUAUGCCCUGCCGGUUUUGAUCCAUUAAGCACAAAAUCAAGGAAUUAUCUUGGCUGUUCGAGGGAGGUUCCUAUGAAUUGUGAAGAUCGGGAAGUGGCGUUUUAUCCAAUAGAUGGCGUCUACAAGUUCCCCGAGAAUUCUUGGCACUCUGUUGCCAGAAAUCUGAAAGAGUGUGAAGCCUCCUGCUUAAAGGACUGUACCUGUACUGCCUUUGCUUACAAUGUGACAUGCCUAUUAUGGUUUGGGGAGUUACGGAACACAGUAGUGCUUGACUCUGGUUCAAAUGGCAAUCGUUUGUACAUUCGUGUUGCCACCAAACAACAACAGGAGAUCGGGGCGCCCUCCCCGGCCGCCUCGCGGGUGGCGGCGCGGGUGGCAAUGGCCGUGUUAGUCAUCAUUGUUAUUAUCAUUGGUCUGACUGUUUUGUGGAGAUGCAGAACAAAGUUAUUCAGAGCAAGAACUGUGUAUGAACACGGAAGCCUUGUGGUUUUCUCAUUUGCACAAAUAAAGAACUCAACAAAAAAAUUCUCUGAAAAACUCGGAGAAGGUGGUUUCGGCUGUGUUUUCAAGGGGACAUUGCCAGGUUCUGCUGCAGUGGCCGUCAAAAGGCUGAAAUGCCUUGGACAAGGAGAGAAGCAGUUUCGAGCAGAGGUGCAGACCAUUGGGAUGAUUCAACACAACAAUCUUGUUCGGCUACUUGGAUUCUGUGCUGAUAGCAGUAGCAGGUUAUUGGUGUAUGAGUACAUGGAAAAAGGUUCUUUAAACUCACAUCUCUUCCGUAAGGAUUUUGCAAAACUGAGCUGGAAGCUGCGGUACCAUAUAGCACUUGGAACAGCAAGAGGCCUGGCUUAUCUGCACGAGGAGUGCAAGGAUUGCUUCUGUCCUAAGAUUGCCGACUUUGGUAUGGCGAAGCUUCUUGGUCGGGAUUUCAGUAGGGCCCUGACAACAAUGAGAGGGACCAUCGGAUAUCUUGCACCGGAGUGGAUCUCAGGGCUGCCGAUCACACAUAAGGCUGACGUCUACAGCUAUGGAAUGAUGCUUUUUGAAAUCAUAUCAGGGCGAAGAAAUGCGGAGAAAAUUGAACAAGGGAACUUUACUUACUUUCCCAUCUUUGCUGCAGUCAAGCUGCAUGAAGGGGACGUUAUGUGCCUGUUGGAUAGAAGGUUGGAAGGCGAUGCGGAUGUGGAGCAGCUGAGGAGAGCUUGCAGAAUUGCAUGUUGGUGUAUUCAAGAUGCUGAAGAUCAUAGGCCAAUGAUGGGGCAAGUUGUUCAGAUGCUAGAAGGUGUUCUGGAUGUUGAAGUACCUCCCAUUCCAAGGUCACUGCAGAAUUUUGUGGGCAUGGAGGAUUGAUUGCACUUUCUCUACAGGCAUGUACUGUCUCUGAAAUACUAAAAGAGCUAUCAUUAUAUGUCAAGAAUUAAGUGUUCAAAGUUAUGUGUAUUUUAUAUUCUCUAAACUACGUUAUCCCCUUAUCUGCUAAGGUUCUGAACUGAAUUUGCUAUCAUUAUAGGCUUGUGAUAUUGUGCCUUCACUUGUUUCUCUGUUGGCAUGAUGGCUUGUCUGUUCGACAAUCAGAACUGUAAAUCUUUAUGUAUUUAUACGAAUUGAGUUCAAGAUAUCAUGUGAAUGAAAUUCUAGUAGAUGUACUUACUGCACCACAUACUGCGGUCUUUGC
rnacentral:rRNA from 1 species